AUGUUUAACACUGAUAAAUACUAACCUGACUCUCUUGACUCUAUAGUGACUAGAGCGAUACUGCUGGUAGGUAAUUACUAACAAUGGCCACUAGGUGGUGUUUACUGCUGGUAGGUAAUUACUAACAAUGGCCACUAGGUGGUGUUUACUGCUGGUAGGUAAUUACUAACAAUGGCCACUAGGUGGUGUUUACUGUUGGUAGGUAAUUACUAACAAUGACCACUAGGUGGUGUUUACUGUUGGUAGGUAAUUACUAACAAUGACCACUAGGUGGUGUUUACUGCUGGUAGGUAAUUACUAACAAUGGCCACUAGGUGGUGUUUACUGCUGGUAGCUAAUUACUACCAAUGGCCACUAGGUGGUGUUUACUGCUGGUAGCUAAUUACUAACAAUGACCACUAGGUGGUGUUUACUGCUGGUAGCUAAUUACUACCAAUGGCCACUAGGUGGUGUUUACUGCUGGUAGCUAAUUACUAACAAUGACCACUAGGUGGUGUUUACUGCUGGUAGGUAAUUACUAACAAUGGCCACUAGGUGGUGUUUACUGCUUGUAGCUAAUUACUAACAAUGGCCACUAGGUGGUGUUUACUGUUGGUAGGUAAUUACUAACAAUGACCACUAGGUGGUGUUUACUGUUGGUAGGUAAUUACUAACAAUGACCACUAGGUGGUGUUUACUGCUGGUAGGUAAUUACUAACAAUGGCCACUAGGUGGUGUUUACUGCUGGUAGCUAAUUACUAACAAUGGCCACUAGGUGGUGUUUACUGCUGGUAGGUAAUUACUAACAAUGACCACUAGGUGGUGUUUACUGUUGGUAGGUAAUUACUAACAAUGACCACUAGGUGGUGUUUACUGCUGGUAGGUAAUUACUAACAAUGACCACUAGGUGGUGUUUACUGCUGGUAGCUAAUUACUAACAAUGGCCACUAGGUGGUGUUUACUGCUGGUAGCUAAUUACUAACAAUGGCCACUAGGUGGUGUUUACUGCUUGUAAGUAAUUACUAACAAUGGCCACUAGGUGGUGUUUACUGCUGGUAGGUAAUUACUAACAAUGACCACUAGGUGGUGUUUACUGUUGGUAGGUAAUUACUAACAAUGACCACUAGGUGGUGUUUACUGCUGGUAGGUAAUUACUAACAAUGGCCACUAGGUGGUGUUUACUGCUGGUAGCUAAUUACUAACAAUGGCCACUAGGUGGUGUUUACUGCUGGUAGCUAAUUACUAACAAUGGCCACUAGGUGGUGUUUACUGCUUGUAAGUAAUUACUAACAAUGGCCACUAGGUGGUGUUUACUGCUGGUAGGUAAUUACUAACAAUGGCCACUAGGUGGUGUUUACUGCUGGUAGCUAAUUACUAACAAUGGCCACUAGGUGGUGUUUACUGCUGGUAGCUAAUUACUAACAAUGGCCACUAGGUGGUGUUUACUGCUGGUAGGUAAUUAUUAAUAAUGGCCACUAGGUGGUGUUUAUUGCUGGUAGCUAAUUACUACCAAUGGCCACUAGGUGGUGUUUAUUGCUGGUAGCUAAUUACUACCAAUGGCCACUAGGUGGUGUUUACUGCUUGUAGCUAAUUACUACCAAUGGCCACUAGGUGGUGUUUACUGCUGGUAGGUAAUUACUACCAAUGGCCACUAGGUGGUGUUUACUGCUGAUGGAUUAUGGUCUAAUUGAUUUGGGAUUAGUAGCACUAACAAUCUAAUCAUUCUGAAUUAACAUUUGAGACAAAUGAUUUAUAGAUUUAACUUUAAACAUUGUUUGUAAUGUUGCCAUAUUGUACAGGAUUUAAUGUUUUGUGUUUCCCCUACAAACUCAUUUAAAUAAACAAACAAACAACAAACAAAUGGAAAAAUAUUUUAUGCUUUUAAAUGUCAGAGCGACGUUUCAGGGUUUAUAUUAACAAUAAAUGUGAACAAUUAAAUAACCUUAACUCAC